AACGAACGCUGGCGGCAUGCCUAACACAUGCAAGUCGAACGAGACCUUCGGGUCUAGUGGCGCACGGGUGCGUAACGCGUGGGGAAUCUGCCCCUCGGUUCGGAAUAACACAGAGAAAUUUGUGCUAAUACCGGAUAAUGACUUCGGUCCAAAGAUUUAUCGCCGAGGGAUGAGCCCGCGUAAGAUUAGCUUGUUGGUGGGGUAAUGGCCUACCAAGGCGACGAUCUUUAGCUGGUCUGAGAGGAUGAUCAGCCACACUGGGACUGAGACACGGCCCAGACUCCUACGGGAGGCAGCAGUGGGGAAUAUUGCACAAUGGGCGAAAGCCUGAUGCAGCAACGCCGCGUGAGCGAGGAAGGCCUUGGGUCGUAAAGCUCUGUCGAGGAGGAAGAUAAUGACGGUACUCCUCGAGGAAGCCCCGGCUAACUACGUGCCAGCAGCCGCGGUAAGAGUCACGUCG
rnacentral:rRNA from 1 species